UACGUAGGGUGCAAGCGUUGUCCGGAAUUAUUGGGCGUAAAGAGCUCGUAGGCGGUUUGUCGCGUCUGCUGUGAAAUCCCGGGGCUUAACCCUGGGCCUGCAGUGGGUACGGGCAGACUAGAGUGCGGUAGGGGAGAUUGGAAUUCCUGGUGUAGCGGUGAAAUGCGCAGAUAUCAGGAGGAACACCGGUGGCGAAGGCGGAUCUCUGGGCAGCAACUGACGCUGAGGAGCGAAAGCAUGGGUAGCGAACAGG
rnacentral:rRNA from 1 species